rnacentral:rRNA from 1 species
GCAAGUCGAGCGGAAACGAUGUAGCUUGCUAUAACUGUCAGCUAAGUGGCGCACGGGUGAGUAAUAUAUAGUUAAUCUGCCCUAGAGAAAGGGAUAACGUUUGGAAACGAACGCUAACACCUUAUAUGCCUUUAAGUCUUAAGACUGCAAGGGAAACAUUUAUGGCUCUAGGAUGAGACUGUACGGUAUCAGUUAGUUGGUGAGGUAAUGGCUCACCAAGACAAUGACGCCUAACUGGUUUGAGAGGAUGAUC